rnacentral:lncRNA from 1 species
GGAGAGGAGGGCAGGUUCAUGUAGGUUAGAAAAGAGGAAAGUUAACGUGUUGUUUUUGGAAUCAGGGGAGAGACCGUUCCGAUGCCGCCUCUGCCCGUACCGAGCCUCUCAGAAAGGGAACCUGAAGACCCACGUCCAGAGUGUCCACCACGUACAUUUCGACAACGCCCAGUACCCUGAUUACAGACCACCGGGACUGGGCCCCGAGCAGGACGAGGAGCAGGGGGACUGGUUCUCACCCACCACCACCGAUCCACCGCGACCUAAUAACAGACCCACCAACGUGACAACCCCAGGGCCUAAGAUAGAGCUAGAGACUCCAUCCAUAUUCCCAACCCCUCCC